GGAAAAAGUUGUGCUGCUUAGAAUUUGUGCUAAUUUUUUGUGAAGUGUAUGGAAGCCAAAGACUAACAACAGACCUGGCUCUCUUUGCAAAUAUCUCUUCUCCUUAGUAUUCCACUUCCUUGGUACUAACUUAGGCUCGUGAUGUGCUAUGGUUUAGAUCUAAAAUAUCCCCAGAGGCUCAGGCACUGUAUGGGAAGGUGAUAGGCCGUGGGGGUGUUUGCAGCUCAAUGUGCUGUUGGGAGACGAGGUCUUGCUGGAGGCAGUCACUUGGGUGCGGCCUGGAGAGCUGCGUUCUUGUCCACAGCUCCUCCCUCUUCUCUGUGCUUCCUGGCUGCCUUGGGGUGAGCAGUGUUCCUCCACUAGGCCAUUCUGCCUUGGAGCCAACCAGCCAUGGACUAAAUCUCUGAAAGCUGUUAGCUACAAUAAGGCUUUCUUCAUUAAACUGUGGGUAUCAGGUAUUUUGCUCCAGUGACAAGGAAGUGACUAACUUAUAAUGUAAGGGCCAACCGUCCACUUAAAAGUCCAUCCCAGGGCCCUCGGCUUAACCUCAGAACCAACUGCCAGGUGCUGCUUGCCUGCCCCAACGGAAUUAACAGAAGCUACCAACAGCCCCUUCUAACCUCCCGGGACAGAGAAUAAUCAUUAACAGACACAUGCUGCCCUUUCUUCUGAAGUAGCCUCCCUGCUACCUUGGGUUGCUGGCUCUAGGCUGAAGAGUAUGAGUGCUGGGGAAUGCCUGCACAUAUACAUGAGCUUGUGAACCCAUUUGUCCUGGGCUUUUGGAAGAUUUUCUCUGGCCAUGGAUGAUCAGAGCCUUGACCAGAUCUGCCACCCAAAUUCCGGCC